GAUACGACCGUACCGCAAACCGACACUGGUGCGCGAGAUGAGUAUUCUAAGGCGCUUGAGAGAACUCAGGAGAAGGAACUCGGCAAAUUGACACCGUAACUUCGGAAGAAGGUGUGCCCUAUUAGUGUGUAGUGAACAACGAAGCAUGAAUGGGUUGCAAAAAAUCGGUGGCUGCGACUGUUUAUUAAAAACACAGCACUCUGCAAACACGAAAGUGGACGUAUAGGGUGUGACGCCUGCCCGGUGCUGGAAGAUUAAAUGAUGGGGUGCAAGCUCUUGAUUGAAGUCCCAGUAAACGGCGGCCGUAACAAUAACGGUCCUAAGGUAGCGAAAUUCCUUGUCGGGUAAGUUCCGACCUGCACGAAUGGCGUAACGAUGGCCACACUGUCUCCUCCUGAGACUCAGCGAAGUUGAAAUGUUUGUGAUGAUGCAAUCUCCCCGCGGAAAGACGGAAAGACCCCAUGAACCUUUACUGUAGCUUUGUAUUGGACUUUGAACAGAUCUGUGUAGGAUAGGUGGGAGGCUUUGAAGCAGGGUCGCUAGAUCUUGUGGAGCCAACGUUGAAAUACCACCCUGGUGUGUUUGAGGUUCUAACCUAGGUCCAUUAUCUGGAUCGGAGACAGUGCAUGGUAGGCAGUUUGACUGGGGCGGUCUCCUCCCAAAGCGUAACGGAGGAGUUCGAAGGUACGCUAGUUACGGUCGGACAUCGUGACGAUAGUGCAAUGGCAUAAGCGUGCUUAACUGCGAGACUGACAAGUCGAGCAGAUGCGAAAGCAGGACAUAGUGAUCCGGUGGUUCUGUAUGGAAGGGCCAUCGCUCAACGGAUAAAAGGUACUCUGGGGAUAACAGGCUGAUACCGCCCAAGAGUUCAUAUCGACGGCGGUGUUUGGCACCUCGAUGUCGGCUCAUCUCAUCCUGGGGCUGUAGCCGGUCCCAAGGGUAUGGCUGUUCGCCAUUUAAAGAGGUACGUGAGCUGGGUUUAAAACGUCGUGAGACAGUUUGGUCCCUAUCUUCCGUGGGCGCUGCAGAUUUGAGGAAGCCUGCUCCUAGUACGAGAGGACCGGAGUGGACACACCUCUGGUGUAUCGGUUGUCACGCCAGUGGCAUUGCCGAGUAGCUAAGUGUGGAAGAGAUAACCGCUGAAAGCAUCUAAGCGGGAAACUCGUUUCAAGAUGAGAUCUGCCGGGGCCUUGAGCCCCCUAAAGAGUCGUUCAAGACCAGGACGUUGAUAGGUCAGGUGUGGAAGCGAAAA
rnacentral:rRNA from 1 species